AGUAAAGUGGCGUACGGGUGAGUAACACGUGGAUCAUCUACCUCUUAGUGGGGAAUAACUUUGGGAAACCGAAGCUAAUACCGCAUAAGCCUGGAAAGGGAAAGCAGCAAUGCGCUGAGAGAGGAGUCCGCGGCCGAUUAGCUAGUUGGCAGGGUAAAAGCCUACCAAGGCAUUGAUCGGUAGCCGGCCCGAGAGGGCACACGGCCACAUUGGCACUGAAACACGGCCCAG
rnacentral:rRNA from 1 species